rnacentral:rRNA from 1 species
GACGAACGCUGGCGGCGUGCUUAACACAUGCAAGUCGAACGAAGAGCGAUGGAAGCUUGCUUCUAUCAAUCUUAGUGGCGAACGGGUGAGUAACGCGUAAUCAACCUGCCCUUCAGAGGGGGACAACAGUUGGAAACGACUGCUAAUACCGCAUACGAUCUAAUCUCGGCAUCGAGGAUAGAUGAAAGGUGGCCUCUACAUGUAAGCUAUCACUGAAGGAGGGGAUUGCGUCUGAUUAGCUAGUUGGAGGGGUAACGGCCCACCAAGGCGAUGAUCAGUAGCCGGUCUGAGAGGAUGAACGGCCACAUUGGGACUGAGACACGGCCCAGACUCCUACGGGAGGCAGCAGUGGGGAAUCUUCCGCAAUGGACGAAAGUCUGACGGAGCAACGCCGCGUGAGUGAUGACGGCCUUCGGGUUGUAAAGCUCUGUUAAUCGGGACGAAAGGCCUUCUUGCGAACAGUUAGAAGGAUUGACGGUACCGGAAUAGAAAGCCACGGCUAACUACG